rnacentral:rRNA from 1 species
CCUACGGGUGGCAGCAGUGGGGAAUAUUGGACAAUGGGCGAAAGCCUGAUCCAGCCAUGCCGCGUGUGUGAAGAAGGCCUUCGGGUUGUAAAGCACUUUCAGUGGGGAAGAAAGCCUUGGGGCUAAUACCCUCGAGGAAGGACAUCACCCACAGAAGAAGCACCGGCUAACUCCGUGCCAGCAGCCGCGGUAAUACGGAGGGUGCGAGCGUUAAUCGGAAUUACUGGGCGUAAAGCGCGCGUAGGCGGUCUGAUAAGCCGGUUGUGAAAGCCCCGGGCUCAACCUGGGAACGGCAUCCGGAACUGUCAGGCUAGAGUGCAGGAGAGGAAGGUAGAAUUCCCGGUGUAGCGGUGAAAUGCGUAGAGAUCGGGAGGAAUACCAGUGGCGAAGGCGGCCUUCUGGACUGACACUGACGCUGAGGUACGAAAGCGUGGGUAGCAAACAGGAUUAGAUACCCGUGUAGUC